ACUCAAAGGAAUAGACGGGGGCCCGCACAAGCAGCGGAGCGUGUGGUUUAAUUCGAUGCUACGCGAAGAACCUUACCCGGGUUUGACAUUCAGGUGGUAGCGAAGCGAAAGCCGAGCGACCCUUCGGGGAGCCUGAACAGGUGCUGCAUGGCUGUCGUCAGCUCGUGUCGUGAGAUGUCCGGUUAAGUCCGGUAACGAGCGCAACCCUCGCCGUAUGUUACAGGUACCAUACGGGACUGCUGGUAUCAAGCCGGAGGAAGGUGGGGAUGACGUCAAGUCAGCAUGGCCUUGAUAUCCGGGGCUACACACACGCUACAAUGGCCGGUACAAUGGGUCGCAAAACCGCAAGGUGGAGCCAAUCCCCAAAGCCGGUCUCAGUUCAGAUUGCAGGCUGCAACCCGCCUGCAUGAAGUCGGAGUUGCUAGUAACCGCAGGACAGCACUACUGCGGUGAAUACGUUCCCGGGCCUUGUACACACCGCCCGU
rnacentral:rRNA from 1 species